AGCAGCCGCCGCGGUAAUACGUAGGUGGCGAGCGUUGUCCGGAAUCAUUGGGCGUAAAGGGAGCGCAGGCGGGCAUGUAAGUCUUUCUUAAAAGUUCGGGGCUCAACCCCGUGAUGGGAAAAGAAACUAUAUGUCUUGAGUACAGGAGAGGAAAGCGGAAUUCCCAGUGUAGCGGUGAAAUGCGUAGAUAUUGGGAGGAACACCAGUGGCGAAGGCGGCUUUCUGGACUGCAACUGACACUGAGAGACGAAAUCUAGGGGAGCAAAUGGGAUUAGAUACCCCCGUAGUCCCUGUCUCUUAUAC
rnacentral:rRNA from 1 species